rnacentral:rRNA from 1 species
AUUGAACGCUGGCGGCAGGCCUAACACAUGCAAGUCGAACGAGUGGCGGACGGGUGAGUAAUGUCUGGGAAACUGCCCGAUGGAGGGGGAUAACUACUGGAAACGGUAGCUCAUACCGCAUACCAUCGGAUUUGCCCAGAUGGGAUGCGCUAGUAGGUGGGGUAACGGCUCACCUAGGCGACGAUCCCUAGCUGGGCUGAGAGGAUGACCAGCCACACUGGAACUGAGACACGGUCCAGAAUCCGACGUGAGGCAUCAGUGGGGAAUAUUGCACAAUGGGCGCAAGCCUGAUGCAGCCAUGCCGCGUGUAUGAAGAAGGCCUUCGGGUUGUAAAGUACUUUCAGCGGGGAGGCGUUACCCGCAGAAGAAGCACCGGCUAACUCCGUGCCAGCAGCCGCGGUAAUUC